rnacentral:rRNA from 1 species
AUUGAACGCUGGCGGCAUGCCUUACACAUGCAAGUCGAACGGUAACAGGUCUUCGGAUGCUGACGAGUGGCGAACGGGUGAGUAAUACAUCGGAACGUGCCCGAGAGUGGGGGAUAACGAGGCGAAAGCUUUGCUAAUACCGCAUACGAUCUCAGGAUGAAAGCAGGGGACCGCUAGGCCUUGCGCUCACGGAGCGGCCGAUGGCAGAUUAGGUAGUUGGUGGGAUAAAAGCUUACCAAGCCGACGAUCUGUAGCUGGUCUGAGAGGACGACCAGCAACGCUGGGACUGAGACACGGCGCAGACUCCUGCGGGAGGCAGCAGUGGGGAAUUGUGGACAAUGGGCGCAAGCCUGAUCCAGCCAUGCCGCGUGCAGGAUGAAGGCCUUCGGGUUGUAAACUGCUUUUGUACGGAACGAAAAGACUCUGGUUAAUACCUGGGGUCCAUGACGGUACCGUAAGAAUAAGCACCGGCUAACUACGUGCCAGCCGCCGCGGUAAGAC